GUCGAGCGAACAGAUAAAGGAGCUUGCUCCUUUGACGUUAGCGGCGGACGGGUGAGUAACACGUGGAUAACCUACCUAUAAGACUGGGAUAACUUCGGGAAACCGGAGCUAAUACCGGAUAAGAUUUUGAACCGCAUGGUUCAAUAGUGAAAGACGGCCUUGCUGUCACUUAUAGAUGGAUCCGCGCCGUAUUAGCUAGUUGGUAAGGUAACGGCUUACCAAGGCAACGAUACGUAGCCGACCUGAGAGGGUGAUCGGCCACACUGGAACUGAGACACGGUCCAGACUCCUACGGGAGGCAGCAGUAGGGAAUCUUCCGCAAUGGGCGAAAGCCUGACGGAGCAACGCCGCGUGAGUGAUGAAGGUCUUCGGAUCGUAAAACUCUGUUAUCAGGGAAGAACAAACGUGUAAGUAACUGUGCACGUCUUGACGGUACCUGAUCAGAAAGCCACGGCUAACUACGUGCCAGCAGCCGCGGUAAUACGUAGGUGGCAAGCGUUAUCCGGAAUUAUUGGGCGUAAAGCGCGCGUAGGCGGUUUUUUAAGUCUGAUGUGAAAGCCCACGGCUCAACCGUGGAGGGUCAUUGGAAACUGGAAAACUUGAGUGCAGAAGAGGAAAGUGGAAUUCCAUGUGUAGCGGUGAAAUGCGUAGA
rnacentral:rRNA from 1 species